GACGAACGCUGGCGGCGUGCUUAAUACAUGCAAGUCGAACGGAAAGGCCCUGCUUUUGUUUUUUGCUCGAUUGGCGAACGGGUGUGUAUCACGUGAGUAACCCCCCCUUGACUUUCGGAUAUCUUCUCGGAACACGGGCUCUUACCGGGUAGAAGCUCCUGCUCCAUAGGGUUGGUUGGAAAGUUUCGGCGGUUGGGGCUGGACUCGCGGCUUAUCCGCUUGUUUGUGGAGUAGUUGCUUACCAAGGCUUUGACGGGUAGCCGGCCUGAGAGAGUAACCGGCCACAUUGGGACUGAGAGACGGCCCAGACUCCUACGGGAGGCAGCAGUGGGGAAUAUUGCGGAAUGGGGGGAAGUCUGAGGCAGAAGCGCCGCGUGCGGGAUGACGGCUUACGGGUUGUAAACCGAUUUCGCCUGUGACGAAGCGUGAGUGACGGUAAUGGGUAAAGAAGCAACGGCUAACUACGUG
rnacentral:rRNA from 1 species